rnacentral:rRNA from 1 species
UGUGAAAUUGUUGAAAGGGAAGCGCUUGCAGCCAGACUUGCCUGUAGUUGCUCAUCCGGGUUUUUACCCGGUGCACUCUUCUACGGGCAGGCCAGCAUCAGUUUGGGCGGUUGGAUAAAGGUCUCUGUCAUGUACCUCCUCUCGGGGAGAUCUUAUAGGGGAGACGACAUGCAACCAGCCUGGACUGAGGUCCGCGCAUCUGCUAGGAUGCUGGCGUAAUGGCUGUAAGCGGCCCGUCUUGAAACACGGACCAAGGAGUC